rnacentral:tRNA from 1 species
ACAUAAGUAGUAUAUAAAAUAUGUUAGAUUUAGGUUCUAAAGAUUUAAUUAUGUU